UGGGGAAUUUUGGACAAUGGGCGAAAGCCUGAUCCAGCAAUGCCGCGUGUGUGAAGAAGGCCUUCGGGUUGUAAAGCACUUUUGUCCGGAAAGAAAUCCUUGGCUCUAAUACAGUCGGGGGAUGACGGUACCGGAAGAAUAAGCACCGGCUAACUACGUGCCAGCAGCCGCGGUAAUACGUAGGGUGCAAGCGUUAAUCGGAAUUACUGGGCGUAAAGCGUGCGCAGGCGGUUUGCUAAGACCGAUGUGAAAAUCCCCGGGCUCAACCUGGGAACUGCAUUGGUGACUGGCAGGCUAGAGUAUGGCAGAGGGGGGUAGAAUUCCACGUGUAGCAGUGAAAUGCGUAGAGAUGUGGAGGAAUACCGAUGGCGAAGGCAGCCCCCUGGGCCAAUACUGACGCUCAUGCACGAAAAGCGUGGGGAGCAAAACAGGAUUAGAUACCCUGGUAGUCCACGCCCUAAAACGAUGUCAACUAGCUGUUGGGGUUUAAUUAACCUUAGUAGCGCAGCUAACGCGUGAAGUUGACCGCCUGGGGAGUACGGUCGCAAGAUUAAAAACUUAAAAGGAAUUGA
rnacentral:rRNA from 1 species